rnacentral:misc_RNA from 1 species
AGCAGCCGCGGUAAUUCCAGCUCCAAUAGCGUAUAUUAAAGUUGUUGCAGUUAAAAAGCUCGUAGUUGAAUUUCGGGAUUGACACAUCGGUCGUGCCUUAAGGGGUAUGAACUGGUGUAGUCAAUUUCUCACCUUCUGGAGAACCGCGAUGCCCUUAAUUGGGUGCCGCGGGGAACCAGGACCUUUACUUUGAAAAAUUAGAGUGUUUAAAGCAGGCAUUUUGCUUGAAUACAUUAGCAUGGAAUAAUAAAAUAGGACGGCAUGAUUCUAUUUUGUUGGUCUCUAGGAUCACCGUAAUGAUUAAUAGGGAUAGUUGGGGGCAUUAGUAUUCAAUUGUCAGAGGUGAAAUUCUUGGAUUUAUUGAAGACUAACUACUGCGAAAGCAUUUGCCAAGGAUGUUUUCAUUAAUCAAGAACGAAAGUUAGGGGAUACGAAGACGAUCAGAUACCGUCGUAGUCUUAACCAUAAACUAUGCCGACUAGGAAUCAGUCGAUGUUUAAUUUUUAAUGUACUUCGUUGG